GGAUUGAAGGCUGAAAUUCGCCUUCCAUGAAGCCGGAAUUGCUAGUAAUGGCAGGUCAGCAUACUGCCGUGAAUACGUUCCCGGGCCUUGUACACACCGCCCGUCACACCAUGAGAGUUGGGAAUACCCGAAGCCUGUGAGCUAACUUAUAGAGGCAGCAGUCGAAGGUAGAAUCAAUGAUUGGGGUGAAGUCGUAACAAGGUAAC
rnacentral:rRNA from 1 species